rnacentral:rRNA from 1 species
GACASGGGCGCACGGAGNKCCAGCCAUGCCGCGUGAGUGAUGAAGGCCUUAGGGUUGUAAAGCUCUUUUGGCGGGGACGAUAAUGACGGUACCCGCAGAAUAAGUCCCGGCUAACUUCGUGCCAGCAGCCGCGGUUAAUACGAAGGGGACUAGCGUUGUUCGGAAUCACUGGGCGUAAAGCGCACGUAGGCGGAUAUGUCAGUCAGGGGUGAAAUCCCGGGGCUCAACCUCGGAACUGCCCUUGAUACAGCAUGUCUUGAGUCCGAUAGAGGUGGGUGGAAUUCCUAGUGUAGAGGCGAAAUUCGUAGAUAUUAGGAAGAACACCGGUGGCGAAGGCGGCCCACUGGAUCGGUACUGACGCUGAGGUGCGAAAGCGUGGGGGAGCAAACAGGAUUAGAUACCCUGGUAGUCCACGCCGUAAACGAUGGAUGCUAGCCGUCGGAUAGCUUGCUAUUCGGUGGCGCACUAACGCAUUAAGCAUCCCGCCUGGGAGUACGGCCGCAAGUUAAAACUCAAAGGAAUUGACGGGGGCCGCACAAGCGUGGAGCAUGUGGUUAAUUCGACGCAACGCAAGRACCUUACCAGCUCUU